GAACAAUUAGUUAGUUGUGGUAGCUCAAUGGUUGCGGGUUCAAAUCUCAGCCCAGCAAUUUUUGUUGUGCACAUGCUUCAACCAGCCCACCAAGGUAGUAUUAUCAUUCAUCUUUGGGUGCACUAUCAACUAUAUCCCAAUUUCUUAAGGUAUAUAUGCAUAUAUAUACACAUUUUUUUUCGACGUUAACGGGUGCGCAUGCAAAUUUGGAAGAUACUCUUCUUGGCAAAAACAUGAUUUUUUUUUUUUUGAGUUCUUGUCCAAACUUUUUGGGGAGCAUCUUUUUUUUUUUCUUUCUGAAGUAAACAGAAGUUGUAUUCUCGUGCAUUUUGGGGUUUGGGGCUUCGGGUAGGAUGGUUAAGGGGUAAAACAAGAUGGAGAAAAUGGUCUAGUCAUAGAAAGGGGUUCAUGGAACUAGAAGGUUCAGCCGCAGGUUCUUUAUCCUUUUCUUGUAAUUCCUCAUCCCUGGAUUUAGCAUACUUAGGGACAUUUUCGAAUUGAAAUUCCUGUCGAUGCCCAUCCCCGUUUCCAUCCUCAUCAAAACCAACCCAAACAAGCGUAGGAGCCAAUAUCUUAGUACUGCUUCAAGACAGUAGCAGUAUCAUUUGAGUUCAGGUAGGAUGACCCAAACUGGAGCUAUAGGAGUUUCAAUUAAAAUUAGAAGUCCAAUUGAAAAGACUCUAUAGUCUGCCUACUAUCCAUAAUUUUUGUUUAAACCAUACGUUGUUGUCAUUUACAUUCUCAAGGUGAAUAUAUAAAUGUGUGGAAUUGAAGUGAGUGAUUUUUGCCUUACCACUUAACCGAACUUUAGAGUUGAAGCUUCUUCGAAUAACCUCCAUUUUGGGCAUUGUAGAGGAAAAUUUCCCUACGACAGUGAACCUGCAUUUGUGCGCAACUUAACCAUAUAGUCAUCUCUCUUGAAAAUUACAGAUGGGUAGCCCUGUUUUGUGUUAAUCUUGGCAGGCCUUAGUUUGCUUUGGGUGUCCUCCGGAGCAGCAAUGUUAUUCGAUUAUAGUUGAAUAGCAUAGGAGGGUAUAACAGAAGGUGUGAGAGGUUCUAUUUCUGAGCUCGGCUUAGGAAAAUUUCUGUACCAUGGAUCACCACAACUGCCUGAUCGAUCUGUUUGGUAUGAGUGUUGGAUUGGGUUUAGAUAGGUCUGUUUCGUUGAUUUUAGGAGCUGUGGGUUUGUUAAAGUUGGAUGAAAUCGUAAGCAUAUUAUUUCCCGACUUCUCCUGUGGUCUUUUUAGCAGUGCCCAUGGCUUCACCAUUUACAAUAUUGGAGGGAUUGGGAGUAGUCAGGUCUUGCAUGUUUGUUUCUGGGUUAGGAGAAAUCAUAUUGAGGUUGUUGGAUAUGGGAUUUUGGAUUGAAGAGGUAGGGUAUGGUCAGAGGCGGAUUCAGAAUUUCAAACUUGUGGAUUCCCAGGGCUCCUUUCCCUACCACUAAGAUGAUAAAUGACAGAGAAGAAAACAGUAGGAUUCUGCUUGAAGCAGCAGAAAAUGGUGAUGUCUCUGCAUUCAAAUGGGCAGUAGCUUUACAUAGAAGCAUUGAUGAACCAUAUGACUUCGGGGAAGGUAGGCUCAGAACACCCCUCAUGAUUGCCUGCUUUCACGGCCAAGUUGAAGUUAUAAAGUUUUUGAUCAAGACAAACUGCGUUUUCGUUAACUUUCAGAGUAGCGAUGGCAUAACUGCCAUCCAAUACUCCAUUCAGGCGCAACUCCCGAGGAUAUCUUCCAACAACUAAUAUUGGCAGCUAGAAAUUUUCUUAUAAACCACUACAAAGUAACACCCUGUCCGUACAGAUUCAUUCACGGCUGGAAAAUUUGUCCGUAUUUGCACGAAGAUCAAAACUGCACAAGGCGUAAUCCUUUCAAAAUAUGGCUACUCUUCAGCCCAGUGCCAUCUCUUCGCACGUGGCCAGUGCAUUAAUGAGUAUAUUGUAGAAGGACACAUGGGAUGGAUGAAUUUCUCUACCACCCGAAUGUUUUCAGAACUAAGCCAUGUAUUCAUGGACGUAAUUGUUGGAACAAGGACAAUGGGGUCUGUAAACAUGCCCAUUAUGGAGAGGAUGAGCUCGUCAAUACCUUUCCCUCUUUCAACCCCACCAAUCUUGACAUUGUGAUGCAGCACUGGCGUACCGUCCAUGAGGAGCUCUGGAAAUAUACAUAGGAUCUUUUCUCUUUUCUCUUUUCUCUUUUCCUUUAAAGUAACUUUUUUCUUACUUUUUUAGUCACUUUUUUCUUCACUUCCUUCACCUUAUUCUUGCAGCUCUGGUUUCCCAAGAAGACUGUCAGGAUUUUAGGAAGCUUAAUACCAGUUUGGUGUGGAGUGCUGAACAACCAGAUAUCUAACUCACGAUUUGACAAUUUGGCUGCAUAUUAGUUUGAACAAGUAGCUGAUUGCAAGAUUUUUUAAGAGCUAUAAAAUAAACAAGAUCAGGAGCAAUCCUGCAAGCAUCAGGAGGAGAUAAAUUAUACCACAUGGGGAUGGCAGGAUAGAAGUGAUUGGUGGGGAGGAUUCUUGAUUUCUCCUUUGCCAUACAAAUUUUUAGAGGUUGCUUCCUACACAUGUAAUUAUGCUUCAGAUUGUUAGAUUAAUUGUAGAGUUUCCCAAGUGUAUAUGUUUCGUUAUUAUUCUCGAGAAGUUUGCAACACCACAUUUCUUUUAUAAUGACUUGGACAGCGGUA